GGCAGCAAGCAUGGAAACAAAGAGGUCUUGUGAAGGCUGAGGAUUAUGAUCCAGACAGAUGGAAAAAUGUUCUUGACAGAAUCCCUUUUAAUACCUUUCAAAUUAGACAAAAUAAGCUUGUUUAUCAAAACUAUUUGUAGAAUUGUUUUGACUAACUUGAAACACGUUUUUAAACAGUCACAGAGGCUCUCUGACUGGCAUGGAGGAAAAGAGGACAAGAGCGGAGGAUGGAAGAAGAGAGUCCGUGUCCCAGGAUUGCACUCCGAAUGAGACAGAGAUUUUGAAGAGAUGACGUGAGAUCAGUUGCCUCCAUCCCUUCCCACCCUGCCUCCUGCACCACAACGAAGUGUAAAAUCUUGAACUGUGUACCUAAAUAUAGCCCACCU